rnacentral:rRNA from 1 species
AGGACGAACGCUGGCGGUGUGCUUCACACAUGCAAGUCGAACGAGGUAGCAAUACCUAGUGGCGGACGGGUGAGUAACGCGUGGGAAUCUGCCUUUGAAUGGGGGAUAACGGGCCGAAAGGUCCGCUAAUACCGCAUAGGCCGCAAGGUUAAAGGAGUAAUCCGUUCAAAGAUGAGCCCGCGUCCGAUUAGCUAGUUGGUAGGGUAAAAGCCUACCAAGGCGACGAUCGGUAGCUGGUCUGAGAGGAUGAUCAGCCACAAUGGGACUGAGACACGGCCCAUACUCCUACGGGAGGCAGCAGUGGGGAAUUUUACGCAAUGGGCGAAAGCCUGACGUAGCGACACCGCGUGAGCGAAGAAGCCCUUUGGGGUGUAAAGCUCUGUCGGCUGGAACGAAAAAAUGACGGUACCAGCAAAGGAAGCAUCGGCUAACUACGUGCCAGCAGCCGC